GAGGAUUAUAUGAGAUACCUUAUGUAAGAGGGGCUGGUGCAUUGUGGAAGUCAACAAGUAAGUUUUGUUAAAUUUGAGUAAGAAGACCUGUUUGUUUCCUCAAGUUGCUUAUAAUCUAGGUGAGGACACAUCUGAGAGAAUAACUAAUAGUUCAGUGAAGCUCCCAAGGAGGCAGCAGAAACUGGGGU
ensembl:lncRNA LAMTOR5-AS1 LAMTOR5 and SLC16A4 antisense RNA 1